rnacentral:rRNA from 1 species
UACGUAGGGGGCAAGCGUUGUCCGGAAUCACUGGGCGUAAAGCGCGCGCAGGCGGCGAUCUACGUCCGGGGUGAAAGCCCAGAGCUCAACUCGGGAGGGUCACGCGAUACUGAUCGACUCGAAGGCAGGAGAGGGUAGUGGAAUUCCCGGUGUAGUGGUGAAAUGCGUAGAUAUCGGGAGGAACACCAGUGGCGAAGGCGACUACCUGGCCUGUUCUUGACGCUGAGGCGCGAAAGCUAGGGGAGCAAACGGG